GCGCUCAUAGCUCAGUUGGAUAGAGCACCGGUUUUCUAAACCGGCGGUCCCUGGUUCGAGUCCAGGUGGGCGCG
rnacentral:tRNA from 1 species